GAUGAACGCUGGCGGCGUGCUUAACACAUGCAAGUCGAGCGCACAGAUCCUGAGCUUUCUCGUCUUACGUUAGCGGCGGACGGGUGAGUAACACGUGAGUAACCUGCCUAUUUCUCUGGGAUAACGCCGGGAAACGGGUGCUAAUACCGGAUAAUCUCUUGACCCCCCUUGUUCGAUGGUGAAAGGCGUUUUUGCUGUCAGUUAUAGGCGCGCCCGCGCCGCAUUAGCUAGUUGGUAGGUGACCGGCUUACGAUGGCAACGAUGCGUAGCCGACCUGAGAGGGGGAUCGGCGACCCGGGAACUGAGACACGGUCCAGAGCCCUAACGGAGGCAGCAGUAGGGAAUGUUGCACAAUGGGCGAAAGCCUGACGGAUCAACGCGGCGCGAGUGAUGAAGGUCUUCGGAUCUUAAAACGUUGUUAUUUGGGAAGAACGAUUGUGUCAGAAACGAUGCACGUCGUGACGGUACCUGAUCAAAAAGCGACGGCUAACUACGUG
rnacentral:rRNA from 1 species